UAAUAUUUUGACUUCAGUAAGGUUUUAAUGCAGUACUUUUACCUCAGUAAGAUUUUUAAUGCAAUACUUUUACUUCAGUAAUGUUUUUCAUGCAGUACUUGUACUUCAGUAAGGUUUUUCAUGCAGUACUUCUACUUCAGUAAGGUUUUAAUGCAGUACUUCUACUUCAGUAAGGUUUUUCAUGCAGUACUUCUACUUCAGUAAGGUUUUAAUGCAGUACUUCUACUUCAGUAAUGCAGUACUUUCUCAUAAUACUUCUCCCAGCGCUCAGAAGGCCUCACCCUUCCUCAGCCUGGCGUCUUGAUGUCGAAUGUGGUGUUUAUUGAAAAAUGAAACGUGUUUAGGCCGCGGCCCCCCGCCCCCCCCCCACCCCGCGCUAACGAGCUAAGCUAAUUGAAGUGAAUGUGAGUGUGUGAGCCGCUGCAGGCGAACUCUCAUCAGCCUGAUUGAUACACGCUCUCCUCGCAGAUUGCCCGUCGCCGGCAGUCAUUAGUUCUGAGCGGGAGGAACGACUGUGACCUCGGACCUGCCGUCAGCCAGACAUGAAGGAUCGCCGGUGAGACGGAUGGUGACUUUAGAACCGGGCUUUCUCCCAGAACUUCAAUCACUUUGAUGUCCGACUGCUUAUUUAUUCAAAAGUGAUUUAGAUACGGAGGAAAAGUUUGGAUUCUUUACUUCAUAUUUCAAAAUACUGCAUUCAAAUUCCUGAUUACGUUUAAAUAUUAUACGCAGAUUUAUGAUGAAUGGAAUUACUCACAGUGUCAAAGGCUCCCUGUCACUGUUUCACUAUCCUGUGUCAUGUUUCUGGAUUAAAACCCUUGCUGCCUUAAUGUGUAUUACGUUUUAACUCCUGUAUUAAUACAUUAUAUUAUAUAAUAGCUUCAUGUUCUCACUUUUUGUAUUUUACAGCUGAUCCAAGAAACACACGUGGAAUCCUCCAGAAUCAUUAUUCGAUUUGAUUGAUUUGAUCCGAUCAGCUUUGACCUUGUGGACGAAACUCUUACCAACAAUAAAGAUCUUUUAAUUCCGCAGAAAGCUCCGGACCGGCUGAUGAAGUUUGUGUUUCUAACUUUGUCUAAAACUGGAAACAUCAAAAGAUCGUUACAUUUCUGGCAUUUACAUUUUUAGUUCAUUUAUUCAAGUUAUUUAAAAAAUAGCAUUAAUAAUAUUCUUUUUAAUACCCUCAGUUGUUUUCUUCGUGCAUUUUUAUGGUAUUAGUGUGUAUUUAUUGUAUAUAUUGUAUUUAUUUAAAGUUAUCACACAGCUUAGCAGGUAAUUAGCUUCUUUUUAAACUUUUUGCUAAUAUGACCUCGACGUGAUGAAAGGGGUACUACUACUACUACUACUACCACUACUACUACUACUACUACUACCACUACCCCCUUAUACUGACAAUAACCCUUUAAACAACCCGCUGUGCGUCUUUAGAGGGCCUGUUUACCUGCACCUCCAGGUGAGCAGAUGACGACUGUCUCUCAUCAACGACGUCCACUUCCUGUCCACCAGGUGCAGCUCCCCCGUGGAGGUAAACUGACCCCUCCCUCGUCUCCCCCGCCGCUCCUCCUCCACUUCCUCCCACGAGGUAACCAUGAUCCUCCCCGAGUCUCUGGAUCCUCUGUCCGACACCGAACACCCCC
ensembl:lncRNA